rnacentral:rRNA from 1 species
AGUGAACGCUGGCGGUAGGCCUAACACAUGCAAGUCGAACGGCAGCACAGUAAGAGCUUGCUCUUACGGGUGGCGAGUGGCGGACGGGUGAGGAAUACAUCGUAAUCUACUUUUUCGUGGGGGAUAACGUAGGGAAACUUACGCUAAUACCGCAUACGACCUACGGGUGAAAGCAGGGGAUCUUCGGACCUUGCGCGAUUGAAUGAGCCGAUGUCGGAUUAGCUAGUUGGCGGGGUAAAGGCCCAGCAAGGCGACGAUCCGUAGCUGGUCUGAGAGGAUGAUCAGCCGCACUGGAACUGAGACACGGUCCAGACUCCUACGGGAGGGAGCAGAGGGGAAUAUUGGACAAUGGGCGCAAGCCUGAUCCAGCCAUACCGCGUGGGUGAAGAAGGCCUUCGGGUUGUAAAGCCCUUUUGUUGGGAAAGAAAAGCAGCAGGUUAAUACCCCGCUGUUCUGACGGUACCCAAAGAAUAAGCACCGGCUAACUUCGUG